CGGGGCUUAGUGCCGGAGCUAACGCAAUAAGCACUCCGCCUGGGGAGUACGACCGCAAGGUUGAAACUCAAAGGAAUUGACGGGGGCCCGCACAAGCGGUGGAGCAUGUGGUUUAAUUCGAAGCAACGCGAAGAACCUUACCAGGUCUUGACAUCCCGAUGCUAUUCUUAGAGAUAGGAAGUUACUUCGGUACAUCGGAGACAGGUGGUGCAUGGUUGUCGUCAGCUCGUGUCGUGAGAUGUUGGGUUAAGUCCCGCAACGAGCGCAACCCUUAUUGUUAGUUGCCAUCAUUAAGUUGGGCACUCUAGCGAGACUGCCGGUAAUAAACCGGAGGAAGGUGGGGAUGACGUCAAAUCAUCAUGCCCCUUAUGACCUGGGCUACACACGUGCUACAAUGGUCGGUACAACGAGUUGCGAGCCGGUGACGGCAAGCUAAUCUCUGAAAGCCGAUCUCAGUUCGGAUUGGAGGCUGCAACUCGCCUCCAUGAAGUCGGAAUCGCUAGUAAUCGCGGAUCAGCACGCCGCGGUGAAUACGUUCCCGGGCCUUGUACACACCGCCCGUCACACCACGAGAGUUUGUAACACCCGAAGUCGGUGAGGUANCCUUUUAGGG
rnacentral:rRNA from 1 species